rnacentral:rRNA from 1 species
UACAGAGGUCUCAAGCGUUGUUCGGAUUCAUUGGGCGUAAAGGGUGCGUAGGCGGCGCGGUAAGUCGGGUGUGAAAUCUCGGGGCUUAACUCCGAAACUGCAUUCGAUACUGCCGUGCUUGAGGACUGGAGAGGAGACUGGAAUUUACGGUGUAGCGGUGAAAUGCGUAGAUAUCGUAAGGAAGACCAGUGGCGAAGGCGGGUCUCUGGACAGUUCCUGACGCUGAGGCACGGAGGCCAGGGGAGCAAACGGG